rnacentral:rRNA from 1 species
UGAGGAAUAUUGGUCAAUGGGGGCAACCCUGAACCAGCCAAGUCGCGUGAAGGAUGAAGGUCUUAUGGAUUGUAAACUUCUUUUACACGGGAAUAAAGUGGGGGACGUGUCCCCCUUUGCAUGUACCGUGUGAAUAAGGAUCGGCUAACUCCGUGCCAGCAGCCGCGGUAAUACGGAGGAUCCGAGCGUUAUCCGGCUUUAUUGGGUUUAAAGGGUGCGCAGGCGGGAUGUUAAGUCGGCGGUGAAAUUUUGCAGCUCAACUGUAAAAGUGCCUUCGAUACUGGCCUCCUUGAGUGUGGAUGAAGGAGGCGGAAUUUGUGGUGUAGCGGUGAAAUGCUUAGAUAUCACGAGGAACUCCGAUUGCGCAGGCAGCUUACUAAGCCACAACUGACGCUCAUGCACGAAGGCGUGGGGAUCAAACA